rnacentral:tRNA from 1 species
GCCGAUGUAGCUCAGUUGGCAGAGCAACUGUUUCGUAAAUAGUAGGUCACGAGUUCAAGUCUCGUCAUCGGCU